rnacentral:lncRNA from 1 species
UCUUGGUUGGUUUUGUUUUUUUUUACACGUGGCUAUUUAUUCUAUUUGGUCCACUUUUUUGAGCAAAGGCUAAGCCUAUUUGUCCUUAUCCUAGGAACCUCCUCUCCUGGAUCCAUCUUGUUUUCUUUUGUCAUCCUGGUUUUUCUAAGUCUAGGUCAUCUGCAACCAUGGUACCUUCCCAGUUCAGGAUGGGAACAACUCACCUUAUGUAGCAGAGAGGGAAGCUGUGGUGUUUACUUCACUUUAACUCUCAUUAAUCUGGUUUAUGUCAGGAGCAAGCUGUUUCCUUGGGAAGCCAAAGAUAGAUGUCAACAUGAGUUCUCCAUCACUGAUUUUGUAAACAAUCCUUUCACUAGUGACAUCUGGAUGUAGGAUGAUGUCCUCCGGAGAGGAACUUAGUGGCAGUCUUGAGUAUUAGAUGUCCUCAACGUAGAACCAGUUCAGUGCUCUCUGAUAGUGGCUCUUCAGCAGCUGGGACACUCCUACUCCAGGUCUGGAAAGAUUCCCCAUUUACAAUAUGUACUUGC